UAAUCUCACCUCUUCAACUUUGCUGUUGAUCUGUGUGGAUUUGGAUGCUGCUGUGAAAUGUGAUCAGCUCAUCUGAAAUGCUUGAGUGUACCCCUGUUUCUGUGGUGUAUCUGGUGUGAUAAGUCUUCAUCAGAGAAUGGUCUUUAGGACCACACACUUUUACUGGGUGUAUGCUUCCAACUGUCUCUAUGGACUACAUUCUGACA
rnacentral:misc_RNA from 1 species